UACGAAGGGGGCUAGCGUUGUUCGGAAUUACUGGGCGUAAAGCGCGCGCAGGCGGCUAUCCAAGUCAGUGGUGAAAGCCCGGAGCUCAACUCCGGAACUGCCAUUGAAACUGUUUAGCUUGAGGAUGAGAGAGGUGAGUGGAAUUCCCAGUGUAGAGGUGAAAUUCGUAGAUAUUGGGAAGAACACCGGUGGCGAAGGCGGCUCACUGGCUCAGUUACUGACGCUCAGGCGCGAUAGCGUGGGGAUCAAACAGG
rnacentral:rRNA from 1 species